AGAUUGAACGCUGGCGGCGUGCUUAACACAUGCAAGUCGAGCGGUAACGCGGGAGCAAUCCUGGCGACGAGCGGCGAACGGGUGAGUAAUGCUUGGGAAUCUGCCCAUUAGUGGGGAACAACCAGCCGAAAGGUUGGCUAAUACCGCAUACGCCCUACGGGGGAAAGCGGGGGAUCGAAGACCUCGCGCUAAUGGAUGAGCCCAAGUCGGAUUAGCUUGUUGGUAGGGUAACGGCCUACCAAGGCGACAAUCCGUAGCUGGUCUGAGAGGACGACCAGCCACACUGGGACUGAGACACGGCCCAGACUCCUACGGGAGGCAGCAGUGGGGGAAUAUUGGACAAUGGGGGCAACCCUGAUCCAGCGACGCCGCGUGUGUGAAGAAGGCCUGCGGGUUGUAAAGCACUUUUAGUGGGGAUGAAAAGCUCAGGGUUAACACCUCUGGGUCUUGACCUAACCACAGAAAAGCACCGGCUAACUCUGUGCCAGCAGCCGCGGUAA
rnacentral:rRNA from 1 species